GGAACGGUGGCAGAGUGGACGAAUGCACCCGCCUUGAAAGCGGACGAGCCGAAAGGUUCCGCGGGUUCGAAUCCCGCCCGUUCCGCCA
rnacentral:tRNA from 1 species